UACGUAGGGGGCAAGCGUUGUCCGGAAUUAUUGGGCGUAAAGAGCGCGUAGGCGGUCCGAUAAGUCGGCUGUGAAAGUCAAGGGCUCAACCCUUGAAAGCCGGCCGAUACUGUCGGACUAGAGUCCGGAAGAGGCGAGUGGAAUUCCCGGUGUAGCGGUGGAAUGCGCAGAUAUCAGGAGGAACACCAAUAGCGAAGGCAGCUCGCUGGGACGGUACUGACGCUAAGGCGCGAAAGCGUGGGGAGCGAACAGG
rnacentral:rRNA from 1 species